rnacentral:rRNA from 1 species
CGCUGGCGGCGUGCCUAACACAUGCAAGUCAACUUGACUGAAGGAGCAAUCUGACAGUAGAGUGGCGCAAGGGUGCGUAACGCGUAAGUAACUUGCCCAAGGUAAGGAAUAACGUCGAGAAUCGGCGCUAAUACCUCAUAAUGCAGCGGAUCCGCAUGGAUAUGUUGUUAAAGGUUUACCGCCUUGGGAUAGGCUUGCGUCUGAUUAGCUAGUUGGUGUGGUAACGGCACACCAAGGCUACGAUCAGUAACUGGUCUGAGAGGAUGAUCAGUCACACUGGAACUGAGACACGGUCCAGACUCCUACGGGAGGCAGCAGUGAGGAAUAUUGGGCAAUGCUCGAAAGAGUGACCCAGCAACGCCGCGUGGAGGAUGAAGGUAUUCUAUAUCGUAAACUCCUGUGAGAGCAGACGAAAGACAGAUUAUUAAUCUGGAUGACUGUAUGCUCAGAGGAAGCCCCGGCUAACUACGUG